GGCCAGGCCUCACAUGUACCAUUCUGUAACUAUGUUGGUAUGUCUAGUAUGGAAGCCGGUUCAACGUACCGACACUUGAUACGCCUCUUAUAUCAUGCACCGAUUCUGUAUUGGUAUAGAAGGGUGCACAUCAAUACUGACCAGUAUGGCGAACCUUGUUUUAGCCAUUUUGUUUUUUCCUCCACUCACACUUUGCAAAUUCACCUCUUG
rnacentral:lncRNA from 1 species